UACGUAGGGUGCGAGCGUUGUCCGGAAUUAUUGGGCGUAAAGAGCUUGUAGGCGGUUUGUCGCGUCUGCCGUGAAAUUUCGGGGCUCAACCCCGAACUUGCGGUGGGUACGGGCAGACUAGAGUGUGGUAGGGGAGACUGGAAUUCCUGGUGUAGCGGUGAAAUGCGUAGAUAUCAAGAGGAACACCAGUGGCGAAGGCGAGUCCCUGGACAACUUCUGACGCUGAGGCACGAAAGCUAGGGGAGCAAACAGG
rnacentral:rRNA from 1 species